rnacentral:snRNA from 1 species
GAAUGUACCACAUUUGUGAUGCCAUUGAUCACUAGGGUUGAUUUGGCUGAUCUGGUUAGCUGGGUGGGUGUUCCCCUCACUGCUCCACAUUUGUCCCUCCUGAAGCUGCACAUGCUCAGUCGAAGAGUAUGACCAUCCCGGAUAGAGGAGGAUUAGUCCUUGGUCAAGGGUAUAUGAGUAACUGCAGUCCCUUGCUAGAACCUCCAAACAAGCUCUCAUUCUUGACAUUAUUAUUUUACGUCUUCUUUCUUGUUUUUCUUGGUCAGUCUAGUCAAAGUUUGUCAAUUUUGUUGAUCUUU